GGAAUUCGCCCUUAGAGUUUGAUCCUGGCUCAGGACGAACGCUGGCGGCGUGCCUAACACAUGCAAGUCGAGCGAUGAAAUCCUUCGGGAUGGAUUAGCGGCGGACGGGUGAGUAACACGUGGGUAACCUGCCUCAAAGAGGGGAAUAGCCUUCCGAAAGGAAGAUUAAUACCGCAUAAUAUGUUUUGGUCGCAUGAUCGAAACAUCAAAGGAGCAAUCCGCUUUGAGGUGGACCCGCGGCGCAUUAGCUAGUUGGUGAGGUAACGGCUCACCAAGGCGACGAUGCGUAGCCGACCUGAGAGGGUGAUCGGCCACAUUGGAACUGAGACACGGUCCAGACUCCUACGGGAGGCAGCAGUGGGGAAUAUUGCGCAAUGGGGGAAACCCUGACGCAGCAACGCCGCGUGAAUGAUGAAGGCCUUCGGGUUGUAAAGUUCUGUCUUCUGGGACGAUAAUGACGUACCAGAGAGA
rnacentral:rRNA from 1 species